rnacentral:rRNA from 1 species
GACGAACGCUGGCGGCGUGCUUAACACAUGCAAGUCGAGCGGUAAGGCCCUUCGGGGUACACGAGCGGCGAACGGGUGAGUAACACGUGAGCAAUCUGCCCUUCACAUCGGGAUAACCCCCGGAAACGGGAGCUAAUACCGGAUACGACCACUUCAGGCAUCUGAUGGUGGUGGAAAGUUCCGGCGGUGAAGGAGGAGCUCGCGGCCUAGCAGCUUGUUGGUGGGGUAAUGGCCCACCAAGGCGUCGACGGGUAGCCGGCCUGAGAGGGGGACCGGCCACACUGGGACUGAGACACGGCCCAGACUCCUACGGGAGGCAGCAGUGGGGAAUAUUGGACAAUGGGCGAAAGCCUGAUCCAGCAACGCCGCGUGAGGGAUGACGGCCUUCGGGUUGUAAACCUCUUUCAGCGCAGACGAAGCGAAAGUGACGGUAUGCGCAGAAGAAGCACCGGCCAACUACGUGCCAGCAGCCGCAGUAAAAC